ensembl:lncRNA
CACAGGCCCACACAGAGCUGGAGCAUCUGGGGUUGAGUAGGGGGCUGAGGAACCCCUAUAAUGGGCUUAUAGUCACGGAGUCCCCCUGGAUAGAUGAGUGGUGGGGACACAGAAGCCUGCCGAUCAAGAGGAGGGUGUGACACACGGCAGAGAAGAGUUGCUGAAAGAGAUACAGCUCUAACAAGAUGAUCUGCCCAGCUCUGGAUGGCUGCUGGAAUCCCUGGUCCAGACUCUGCAAGCCUUUAAGGAGGGGAGAGUCAUAGGAAGCCCAUCUGGACUCCAUCAGGACUAGGUAAACAGAGCCAGAUCCUCCAUGGAACCAUAGAGCCAUGCCUUGGCUCCCACCCACUGUCACAAAAGACUCAAGUGAUGGUUCAAGAUGCAAAAUGAUAUGCACAUCGUUAUUAACUCAACCCCUGUGCAAAAAUCCAAAUCUGCUAUCUUUUUUUUAAUCCCUUUCCCUGCCCACCAUGCACUAGCAGGUGCUAUCUCCAAUCUUCCUAAAGUCAAAAAGAAUUGUUUCAGCCAAGGACAGAGUGAUGAAGAGAGCACUUCAACUUUAUUUCAGAUAAAUGUCCAAAAUCUGAAAAUGAUAAUGAGAUACAAAUUUUUUUCUUUUUCUUUUGCAGAACUGUGUGAAGUAAAAUUUUCUGUCACGUGACCUUUUACCUCCACAUGCCUAUGUAUGUCUUGACAGUUGAUUUAAUGCUGCUAUCUGGGAAUCUCUACUGGGUGUCUCUGCUUAUGUAAAAAGGACGCUGCAGAAGAAUGAAGUAAAUCAAGUUUCCACACGUUUGGAUCAUACCCUUAGUUCUCUUCAAGACUGUCGUCACAGAAACAACAGCCUUGUUCCCGCAACCCUCCAUCUUCCAGCAGCCAGUCAGCACUGCGUGUUUCUUCCUGCUAGCGUAAAUAUUAGAGUCGUCCAGUGCUGCUUCAUGGUCCAGUAUCAACGCUGUGGACCUAACCUGGCUAGGCCAGUUUGUUCCACUGGUAGUCUGGGAACUCUACACGUCAUUGCUUUGGUGUUUUAUUGACUUCUGAUGUUUUUCUGUCUUUCAAAAAGAGAGAUUAAC